rnacentral:rRNA from 1 species
UACAGAGGUCCCAAGCGUUGUUCGGAUUCACUGGGCGUAAAGGGUGCGUAGGUGGCAUGGCCAGUUUGAUGUGAAAGCUCAGGGCUUAACCCUGAAAUGGCAUUGAAUACUGCUGUGCUGGAGGUUUGGAGGGGGGACUGGAAUUCUUGGUGUAGCAGUGAAAUGCGUAGAUAUCAAGAGGAACACCAGUGGCGAAGGCGAGUCCCUGGACAACACCUGACACUGAGGCACGAAGGCCAGGGGAGCAAACGGG